GAGGGAAUGCCUAUAGGGGUCUCCCGAUGAGGAGCGCAGAAUCCCUUCACUGAAAGACAUAGCAAACAGUAGCCACGGAGAAGGCCUCCAAGUCCAGCCGUCUGUAAUUAGCACAGAACCUGACGGGUGCUAAUGGACAGCAGCUGCUCAGCGGGUUUGGCUCUAAUCACUAGAGACUCUGGGAAGAGUUGGCAGAGGCUCAUGAUGGAACCGGGAUUCAAGCCCUGAUCUCCUGACUCACCAGCCAGUUCGCCUUCUCCACCGUGUGGGAAGAUCUAAAACCCAAGGCUUCCAGAGUAUUCUGUGGUUCCCCAAGAUGCCUGACAUCGGUACAGAACCUGAGGCCACAAGAGGCAGAAUGGCUUGCCUGAGACCGUACAGCAAAUGCAUGGCAGAGAUGGACUUGGCCUGACACAUCCUGUGUGCCUGAGAACCUGUCUCUGUGGCACCGUAGUACCUCUUAACUGGGCCAUGGUGACAGGUGUACCAGGGUCGAUAACAUAGAAAUGAGAGCCCAGUGUCCCCUCUUUAGACUCGGGGCCCACUAUUUUGAAACAGUGGAUGGCACGGACAAUAAGUAGUACCACAGCCACCUCCCUGAGAGUGACCAGGCUUCAGACUGUAGGGUGAGGAGCAGGUCAGUGGACGUGCAUUAAUUGAGAGGCUGUCAUGCAGCCCUCAGCUAAGGGGUGGGCCAGAUGGGCUCCAGGGGCACAUUCAGGAGAGGUCACUUUAGAUCCUCCAUUUGGAGAGUGUCUGAGGUACCAGCGACACUCACCUGCGUGUGGAAUGGAUUCCCUAAAGGAGCAGAGGAUGAUUCAAGGACAGCCUUCAGGCGUGGGGUCCCAGCCCAGCAAGAGGUCUCCAUGGAUGCAAAGGGACAGUGGAGAGAUGGGAAGAAGAUAGAAGAACUGGGUUCGGGGUUGGGGAUUUAGCUCAGUGGUAGAGCGCUUGCCUAGCAAGCGCAAGGCCCUGGGUUCGGUCCUCAGCUGCGAAAAAAGAAAAAAAAAAAAAACUGGGUUCAAAUCCUGACCACUCCAUGAGCCUGGGGACCUUGACUUCUCUGAGCCGAGCUCGGUCUGUUUGUCCACAAGAUGGGAACCAGUGUGCCAGCUGUACACAGACGGGUGGCACUUCAGUAAAAUCAUUUCUCUGGACAGCAUAAGCAAUGGCCGCUUUAAUGACUGAUUUUGACCACCUUCCCAUCAGAAGGAGCAUCUUCACAGCUUCCCUGAGGGCGUGGGUCCUAGACUCUCCUAACAUCCGCCUGGAAGUCCUUCCAAAUAUCUCCCUGCUGCGGCUGCUGCUUGAACACACAGAUGUAAUAAACGCCUGGUGCAGGAUCAAGGUCAAAAUCAAGGAAAAGCGAAGCCCCACCAGGAUAGAGGAUAAAACAGAAGCCGGCCCAGGAGAUAUCAGUGGCAGAGACAGGGGGAGCCCCUGAACCCCGGUAACAGUCAGGUUAUUACAAAUCUAAAACCCUA